rnacentral:tRNA from 1 species
CGCGACGUAGCUCAACUGGAUAGAGCACCCGCUUGCUAACGAAAUCCUUGGUCGCGCUCGGAGAGUAGUGGCGGGAAGAUGCAGGUUCAAGUCCUGUCGUCGCGCCCA